GAACCCACCUGACACAAGUUGGGUACUCACUCGAUAUAGAGUGUAGAGCGAACGAGGGGAACUGAAACAUCUAAGUACCCUUAGGAAGAGAAAUCAAUUGAGAUUCCCGUAGUAGUGGCGAGCGAAGUGGGAAGAGCCUGGUAUGAUUUAGCUGUAAUUAUAGUAGAACAAGUUGGGAAGCUUGACGAUAGAGGGUGAUAGUCCCGUAUACGAAAUAAUCACAGUGGAACUAAGCAUACGAACAAGUAGGACGGGGCACGUGGAACCUUGUCUGAAUAUGGGGGGACCAUCCUCCAAGGC
rnacentral:rRNA from 1 species